AACGCUGGCGCCUAAUACAUGCAAGUUGAGCGAAUCUUUGGGGGCUUGCUCCCAAUGGUUAGCGGCGGACGGGUGAGUAACACGUGGGCAACCUGCCUGUAAGACUGGGAUA
rnacentral:rRNA from 1 species